rnacentral:rRNA from 1 species
GAUGAACGCUGGCGGCGUGCCUAAUACAUGCAAGUCGAGCGAACGGACGAGAAGCUUGCUUCUCUGAUGUUAGCGGCGGACGGGUGAGUAACACGUGGAUAACCUACCUAUAAGACUGGGAUAACUUCGGGAAACCGGAGCUAAUACCGGAUGAUAUUUUGAACCGCAUGGUUCAAAAGUGAAAGACGGUCUUGCUGUCACUUAUAGAUGGAUCCGCGCUGCAUUAGCUAGUUGGUAAGGUAACGGCUUACCAAGGCGACGAUGCAUAGCCGACCUGAGAGGGUGAUCGGCCACACUGGAACUGAGACACGGUCCAGACUCCUACGGGAGGCAGCAGUAGGGAAUCUUCCGCAAUGGGCGAAAGCCUGACGGAGCAACGCCGCGUGAGUGAUGAAGGUCUUCGGAUCGUAAAACUCUGUUAUUAGGGAAGAACAUAUGUGUAAGUAAAUGUGGACAUCUUGACGGUACCUAAUCAGAAAGCCACGGCUAACUACGUG